rnacentral:rRNA from 1 species
CGCCUUGCCAGCCCGCUCAGAAACUCAAAGGAAUUGACGGGGGCCCGCACAAGCGGUGGAGCAUGUGGUUUAAUUCGAUGAUACGCGAGGAACCUUACCUGGGCUCAAAUGUAUGUUGACGUAUUCUGAAAGGGAUACUUCUUCGGACAAUAUACAAGGUGCUGCAUGGUUGUCGUCAGCUCGUGCCGUGAGGUGUCGGGUUAAGUCCCGCAACGAGCGCAACCCCUAUUGCUAGUUACCAUCAUUAAGUUGGGGACUCUAGCGAGACUGCCAGUGAUAAACUGGAGGAAGGUGGGGAUGACGUCAAAUCAUCAUGCCCCUUAUGACCUGGGCUACAAACGUGAUACAAUGGCUGGAACAAAGGGAUGCGAAGCAGUGAUGUGGAGCGAAACCCAUAAAAACAGUCUCAGUUCGGAUUGAAGUCUGCAACUCGACUUCAUGAAGUCGGAAUCGCUAGUAAUCGCGGAUCAGAACGCCGCGGUGAAUACGUUCUCGGGGUUU